CAGAUUUUCUGCUUAGGACCUUACACUCGUAUACCACCGAGCAGAUUGUGCUUAUUCGUCUAUUCAAACUUCUUGUGCCUUUUUUUACACAGAGCCCUAGAUAAGAAUCCGGGCACAAAACCGCAUAUAGUGCUUAUUCAAAUAGCGAUGUGUCAUUAUCGCCUUUUUAAUAUCCAUACAUUUGAUAUGGAUAGUCCGACAACGAGACACAACGAUAUAAUCAAUUGCUUGCAAUUUACCGCUUCGGAAAUAUAUAUAUUUAACAUUUCGAGAACGAAGCUUUUUUAGACACAAGGCUCACCAUAGCCUGAUGAAUAGCCAAGCAAAUAGGGACAUUAUGGUUGGCGUGCUAACCAGUGAUGCGUGAAUACGUAUAUUUGCGAUUUUUGCACAUGGUUUGUGGUAUGGGUGUUAUAUGAAAGUGUCAGAAAUAAUCGCUCCGAGUGUUGCAGUCAUCCCAGUCUGUAUAGGUCAAACGGACGAAUAAAGCGUGAAUUUCUUGGCCAGAAGACGCAAGCAACUCUGCUAAGACCUGCCGUAUGCAAUGUCGGAGCGGCAUCGCCAUAACCUGCUUCUCAUAUCAUGCAGAUUACCGCCAACUCUAGGUCAAAAUCCGGUUAAUGGAUAAUUUAGUUACAUAGGCUCUCUAUAUGAGUUUGUGUGCGAAGGGAUUCGCAAAUGCUAUGGAGGCACUGUGUCGUCAACGCUAUAGGACGAGGAGAACCAAUAUCAGCAGCGAGCAGACCUUUAGCCACACCAGAUGUCGUUGGUGUUCAUCCGAUCGCCUGAAACGUUGUUGACGAACAUCCUGAGCAAUCCUAUUUGUUUCAAACUAACCUGUCGUCCAAUUUAUUGUAAAUUGUGUAGGCGAAUUUAGCUGAAACUGCCUGCGAUAUUGUCUCUGUAUCAAUGACAUUUUCAGAUAUAGUCUCCCUGCGUAAAAGUUAACCCUGGGUUACCUAUUAUUUACAGCUAAUUACAUCCCGAAAAAAAAAGGGAUAAUCACAAGAUUAUGAGCUUUUUGUACGCACUUUUGUAUACACUUUUAGGGCAUCAUGUACUUUGUUCCAUCGGUUGCCUCUGACUGUUCCACUUUUCAUGCCGAUCCUACAUCUUCAGAUUCCCAAGCAGGAACGUGACUUUCUACCAAAUUUAUAACGAUUGUCCUUAGGCUGGCAAUAGCAAAAACGCUAGAUAUUGUCCUAGCAACAGCCGUGAAGCAAUGUACACGAUUCGCUAAAUAGCGUAGACGGUAUGUUUUGCUACGGUGUAUGUUUUGACGAGUCAUAGCCGUUACCAAAGUGAUGGGAAGCGGGUUUCUUUCUACAUUAGGCAGUGACAAAAGGAGAGAGAAGUAGAGUGAAUAUUUAUGUACUGUUUUGGAUAGAAGUGUGUUUAUUAUUCUGAGUUAAACUUUUGUUUGAUUUAAGCUAAACUGCAACAUACGUAUUUACCCUGUUGCGGUCACUGGUUGAUAUGGGAGGAUAGGACGGAAGUAAGCGUCCUCUACGUACGUUUAUACAAUAGAUAUAUUUAUUAAUAUAACAAUGUAAACAGUAUCAUAGUUUUCAAGGGUAGAUAGAUUUAGCUCUUGAGCUGGCUGACGGAGGAAGAAAUAGCCAAGAUGAGCAUACACGUUUCUAAAAAAAAAUUUGGGGUUGUGUCUCAAUGACUACACAGAAAAAGAAAGAAAAUGCGCCUGAUGAGAAUAUGAUGACACUUUCAAUAUAAGAUUUAAAAAAACAAAUGCCAUUUUGAUUACGAGUAUACGCUAAAGCUGUUUACGGAUACGUGUUAAGUUGUUGCGAAUAUGAAGACAGUAGAUAGGUUAGCCCGAAUAAACAAGUGAUAAUAGUAAUAACUUUAAAUCGCAACGAUUCGUGAAAGACCUUGAAUAGGUCGCGCGUUUUGGUUGUGAAGUGGCGACAGUCUAACGUUGUCUCAUUUAUAUCCAGCUCAAUCUGUCCUCUAGGAAAUAAAUUUAACCCGUGUCUCGAACCCUAUGUAGCAUCUAAUUAUUAAGCCAUGCAAUUCGCUCUGAGAACAGAUGCUGGGAACACGAUAGUAAUUCUACACGAAGCAUCGUACUAUAUAUUUGGCUCUGACCAUUGUUUUAUUAUAUUAGAUAAUUUGCAAACUAUUGACGUCGUACUGCAUAUUCGCUAACUCUCAGCGUUUUUUUUUAAAUAAUGAGCUAAAGCGAGACGCAGCAACUUAGAGACGAGUAACGCGCACCUUAAAGUUGCCUAACUUGUUAACCCUACAGUACUUGUAGAUGAACUUCGACUGGUAAAUAUUUCAGCCUUUUAGAAAAUCCGACUGGGAGCCGGCUGAGCUAACUUAAGGAUAAAUUAGUUCAGAGAGAAAAACAUUUUUUUGUUUCAAAAAAAUCAAUUCCUAGCGAUCCAGUUACUGAUCCGGAAAUUUAUCGAAGAUUAAUAAAAUAAUUAGGCACGGAAACUUCAAGGGAAAGCACAAUACGUGAAUAAUGCCACGUAAAAAUGAGAUCGGAGAGUUAAAAAACCAACAAGAAGAUAACCAAAUGUUGGAUCCGGAAAAAUACGAAGGCAUUACCGUAUUCGAAGAAGCUUAUCACGAAGGCCGGGCUUUGAACGUAAGGAGUUUAUUAGUAAGACUGGCACUUCAUAUAAAAUGUAUCACAGAUUUAUAAUCCAAAUACUAACUAUGUGGAGGCUGUGUGAGGCUGUGAUCAGUCGAUUAACUUCAGGUCAAUUGAAAAGUCUUGUGGCUUAUUUUACAAAUAAUUUGCAAAAAAAAAAGCCUCGAACAUGCGGUUUCCAAAGACGAAGCAUAGCUCAAUCUCUACUGCCAGUUUUAAAGGGACCAAACCAGAAGAUCGCAUCGUUCUGAGAGUUCAGUAGCAGUGUCGAAUAGGUUUGGACAUAGGUGAUGGCGAAAUCUAUAAUGGGCACCAGGGUCAUCUUGUAGUAAUAAGAUAUUCGCCGAAAAUCAAUGCACGGUAGUGUCUCGAGUUUCCUCAGAGACCCAUUGGCUGUUAACACGGCAGUCGGAAGUACGCGGUCUGAUUAUUUGAUGACAACGCCAGAUUUCACUGCCAUUCCUCAAUUAUCUCCUGGAUUGAGCGAACGAAUAUCCAUCUUUGGCUAUUUACCAUGUUAUAUCCGUAUGAUUACGGGGCUUUCCAUGCCCUAAAAAUGGCAACUGAUGGGAGAACACAUCCCAGUGUCGACUUACUUCAAUUAGAAAAAUUACAUAUGAGGACCCAAACGAUAGAUAUAUGGCUGUCCAGAUGCUGUGACAGCUCUAAUUAAAGGAGACGACCUUUAACACAUUUUGUGAAUCGUCAUUUUAGCCCAACUAAUUAAACCACCCAACCAAAAAUCCAAGUAACAAAUUCAUCGGAUUCGUCUGUAAGGGUCUUACAUUUAGCAUUUCAAAAAGUUAUUCUCGGCCAAUUUUUCUAGUAAGUUCUACCGUACGUGAAAAAGAAAAACAUAUAUACUACAGUAGAUAUAGUUAUGUGUAAGUGUAUUAAUUAAACACUUUUUUAUUACGUGGCCAAAAGAUCAACUAAAGACGCCUUUGUUAUUGGCCGUAGAAGGUAUGGCUAUGUCUGCCAGAGGCAAGGCUGUAACAUGGUUUUAUUCGAAAAGGUCAGUCAAACAACAAAAUGCUCUUUUUCGUAAAAAGGGCUGUGCUCGCAGAAAGUAGCCGACGGCUUCUAACACUGCCAAAUUAAGUAGGUCAAAGAUUAUGAUUCGUCCACUAUAGGCCUACAUGAGUUUUUGUGGCGCAAUGUAAAUCUGUACGGUCUCAGACACGGGCACAGCUAUGCACUCUAGCAUUUUGUUUGAGAAAAAUGGAGAGAAAAAUUGUAGCGCACCGUUCUCCGAAGCAAUAAACUCGAACGAAUUAACACCAUUAAUUAUCAUCCUCAUGCAUGAUUCUUUCAUGAUAUAAAUAAUACUCUGUGCUAAAUUCUGAUCUAUGAUCAUGAUUAUCCGCAAUGAGGUAGUAUAUCUAACACUAUUGUUUUGUUCAAACGUAAUAUCAACAAAGUUGUUAAAAUCACGUUCAAAAGAGGCCACAUGCCACAUGUCGUCGACGACAACAACGUCUGGUGUAACGAGUGCGAAACAUCAAUGGCUUAGUUUAAAUGGGCACCUACACACACGUGUAUAUACGUCUACUAAACUCAGUUGUACUUUAAAGUUACUCAGUUAUUUUGCCAAACUAGCAUCGACGGCAUCCGUCUUCAUAUAGACCCGAAAUGCCCUGGCUAAUGGAGCCCAGUCCCAUUUUGGCUCCAAGGUGACCAUGUAAGAUGCCUUCAUGACUUAUACGAAACGUAAUAUGCUUUCAGUCUGCUUUUGAGAAUGUAGCUUCAUGAUAGGUGCUUACUAUGGUUAUUUAUAGUGCAACAAGAGCCCGAUGGAAUAUGAAGGAAAUACAUUUUUUAGAAAAUAUUUAGCAGUUUCGUUUUUUAAAUUAUCCAAACAAAAAAUCCAAUAACGCAAAUUGCUGAUAAUAAUAAA